CGAUGAGGGACAUUUUGCUAUGACAUCUUUUAUCCCAGUACUUGCCUGGCAGAUUCAACUGAUGUGGCUUAAUGAUGUCUUCUUUAUCCCUCACUAUUCCAGGUGCCUCAGUUUCAAAGUGAGAUUCUCAUUUGAUAAGGAUGCCUUUUCCUCAUAGAGGAAGAUGGUCAUAGGUGUAGGACACAUGAGCAGCUGAACUCUCCUAUUAGUGCCUUCAAACAUGCUCUGUGGACAUGCUCUUGUGUUACUGCAUACCUAUUCUCAUUCCCAUCCCCCA
rnacentral:sRNA from 1 species